rnacentral:misc_RNA from 1 species
GAUGAAGAACGUAGCGAAAUGCGAUAAGUAGUGUGAAUUGCAGAAUUCAGUGAAUCAUCGAGUCUUUGAACGCACAUUGCGCCCCUUGGUAUCCCGAGGGGCAUGCCUGUUCGAGCGUCAUUUCACCACUCAAGCCUGGCUUGGUGUUGGGCGACGUCCUCUUUGGGGACGCGCCUCGAAACGCUCGGCGGCGUGGCACCGGCUUUAAGCGUAGCAGAAUCUUUCGCUUUGGAAGUCGGGGCCCCGUCUGCCGGAAGACCUGCUCGCAAGGUUGACCUCGGAUCAGGCAGGGAUACCCGCUGAACUUAAGCAUAUCAAUAAGCGGAGGA